GACUGCGAGUUCGCUUUGUUGCUCACCCUCAUCUUGGAGUACUGCAUCUUCACAUCUCUGGGUUUCACAAUCUGCCUCAGGUUGUUAAAGUGCCGGAGUAAAAUUGUGUUAUUGGAUAUUCAGUAAAGAUGGGUGCGAAAAUGGAGUCAAUCCAUCAUUUGCAUAGUACUAGAGAUAAAGUGUUUACACACUUAUCAUAGUACAAAACUCGGGGCACUUGAGCACACCAUAUGGAAAGAAGGUUUGAAAUUCUUGUGAUGGGCAGAUGCAGAACUGCAAGAAGUGAGUGGGCAACAGGCUAUUUUCGAAGA
rnacentral:pre_miRNA from 1 species